rnacentral:siRNA from 1 species
UGUAUUUGUUCAUGAGCCUUUGUU